GGAAGAUUAGGGUUCUUUUAAAAGCAGCUUUUGGGUUCUGAGGGCUCUACUCCACUGAGCUACACAAGGAAAAAAUGGCAGCUAUUCAGCAAAGUCUUUCUACUUCAAUCUCUUCAUCAGCAUCUACUUUUCUGGGUCAGAACAAACUCCGUUUCAGGAAUCAGAAUGUGUCAAUGCCAGGCAAAACCAGUGGUAUUGUCAGAUGUGUUGCAACACCCUCUACGGAGAAAACUUCUUACAAGACACAGGUCUCCCGCAAUGAAAACUUAGCGAAACUUCAAGCUGGUUAUCUGUUUCCUGAGAUCGCAAGAAGGAGAUCUGCACACAUGUUGAAACAUCCUGAUGCUCAAAUUAUAAGCCUUGGAAUUGGUGACACUACCGAGCCCAUUCCUGAAGUCAUAACUUCUGCCAUGGCAAAGAGAGCACAUGAACUGUCAACAUUAAAUGGUUACAGUGGUUAUGGUGCUGAGCAAGGAGAAAAACAACUUAGAGCCUCCAUUGCUUCUACCUAUUAUGCAAAUGUUGGACUAGAAGAAGAUGAGAUCUUCGUUUCUGAUGGUGCCAAAAGUGAUAUAUCUCGACUUCAGGUUCUUUUUGGAUCUAAUGUGAGUAUGGCUGUGCAAGAUCCAUCAUACCCGGCU
rnacentral:misc_RNA from 1 species